AUGCAUCUAGAUUGCGGAUCCGCGGCCGCAGAGUUUGAUCCUGGCUCAGAACGAACGCUGGCGGCAGGCUUAACACAUGCAAGUCGAGCGCCCCGCAAGGGGAGCGGCAGACGGGUGAGUAACGCGUGGGAAUCUACCCAUCCCUACGGAAUAACCCAGGGAAACUUGGACUAAUACCGUAUACGACCGAGAGGUGAAAGAUUUAUCGGGGAUGGAUGAGCCCGCGUUGGAUUAGCUAGUUGGUGGGGUAAAGGCCUACCAAGGCGACGAUCCAUAGCUGGUCUGAGAGGAUGACCAGCCACACUGGGACUGAGACACGGCCCAGACUCCUACGGGAGGCAGCAGUGGGGAAUAUUGGACAAUGGGCGCAAGCCUGAUCCAGCCAUGCCGCGUGAGUGAUGAAGGCCCUAGGGUUGUAAAGCUCUUUCAACGGUGAAGAUAAUGACGGUAACCGUAGAAGAAGCCCCGGCUAACUUCGUGCCAGCAGCCGCGGUAAUACGAAGGGGGCUAGCGUUGUUCGGAAUUACUGGGCGUAAAGCGCACGUAGGCGGAUUGGUCAGUUAGGGGUGAAAUCCCAGGGCUCAACCCUGGAACUGCCUUUAAUACUGCCAGUCUUGAGUUCGAGAGAGGUGAGUGGAAUUCCGAGUGUAGAGGUGAAAUUCGUAGAUAUUCGGAGGAACACCAGUGGCGAAGCGGCUCACUGGCUCGAUACUGACGCUGAGUGCGAAAGCGUGGGGAGCAAACUGGAUUAGAUACCCUGGUAGUCCACGCCGUAAACGAUGGAUGCUAGCCGUCGGCAA
rnacentral:rRNA from 1 species